rnacentral:misc_RNA from 1 species
UCCGGUUUGGCACCGGCAGUCCCCCCAGAGUCCUCGGCGUUACCCGGUAGCAACUGGGAGCGGGGGUUGCGCUCGUUGCGGGACUUAACCCAACAUCUCACGACACGAGCUGACGACAGCCAUGCAGCACCUGUGCACGAGUCCCGAAGGAGGGCCAUGGUUUCUCAUGGCUUUCCCGUGCAUGUCAAGCCCAGGUAAGGUUCUUCGCGUUGCGUCGAAUUAAACCACAUGCUCCACCGCUUGUGCGGGCCCCCGUCAAUUCCUUUGAGUUUCAGCCUUGCGGCCGUACUCCCCAGGCGGGGCACUUAAUGCGUUAGCGCCGGCACCCACGGGGUCGCUCCCCCAGGCACCUAGUGCCCAUCGUUUACGGCGUGGACUAC